rnacentral:rRNA from 1 species
CUAGGCCUACGGGACGCAGCAGUAGGGAAUUUUCGGCAAUGGGGGGAACCCUGACCGAGCAACGCCGCGUGAAGGAAGAAGGAAUUCGUUCUGUAAACUUCUGUUAUAAAGGAAGAAAGACGGAUGGAGGAAAUGACUUCCGAGUGACGGUACUUUAUGAGAAAGCCACGGCUAACUACGUGCCAGCAGCCGCGGUAAUACGUAGGUGGCAAGCGUUAUCCGGAAUUAUUGGGCGUAAAGAGGGAGCGGGCGGCAGCAAAGGUCUGUGGUGUACGACUGAAGCUUAACUUCAGUAAGCCAUAGAA